CAAGGCUUGACAUACACCGGAAUCACUCAGAGAUGGGUGCGUCUUCGGACUGGUGUACAGGUGGUGCAUGGUUGUCGUCAGCUCGUGUCGUGAGAUGUUGGGUUAAGUCCCGCAACGAGCGCAACCCUCGUUCCAUGUUGCCAGCAGCACUUCGGUGGCUGGGGACUCAUGGGAGACUGCCGGGGUCAACUCGGAGGAAGGUGGGGAUGACGUCAAAUCAUCAUGCCCCUUAUGUCUUGGGCUACACACGUGCUACAUUGGCCGGUACAAAGGGCUGCGAUGCCGCGAGGCGGAGCGAAUCCCAAAAAGCCGGUCCCGGUUCGGAUUGGAGGCUGAAACUCGCCUCCAUGAAGGCGGAGUUGCUAGUAAUCGCGAAUCAGCAACGUCGCGGUGAAUACGU
rnacentral:rRNA from 1 species